rnacentral:rRNA from 1 species
UAUUUAUAUGAGAGUUUGAUCCUGGCUCAGGAUGAACGCUGGCGGCGUGCCUAAUACAUGCAAGUCGAACGAGUUCUCGUUGAUGAUCGGUGCUUGCACCGAGAUUCAACAUGGAACGAGU